rnacentral:rRNA from 1 species
GUCCACACCGUAAACGAUGGAUACUAGGUGUUCGGGGCUUCGGCCCUGAGUGCCCAAGGGAAACCGAUAAGUAUCCCACCUGGGGAGUACGUCCGCAAGGAUGAAACUCAAAGGAAUUGACGGGGGCCCGCACAAGCGGUGGAGCAUGUGGUUUAAUUCGAUGAUACGCGAGAAACCUUACCUGGGCUAGAAUGCCCCUGACCGCCCGUGAAAGCGGGUUUUCCUUCGGGACAGGGUGCAAGGUGCUGCAUGGUUGUCGU